rnacentral:rRNA from 1 species
AGAGUUUGAUCCUGGCUCAGGAUGAACGCUGGCGGCGUGCCUAACACAUGCAAGUCGAACGAAGCAUAUCAGUGACAAGAAGCAGCUUGCUGCGGACAAGAACAGAUAUGACUUAGUGGCGGACGGGUGAGUAACGCGUGGGGAACCUGCCUCAUACAGGGGGAUAACAGUUAGAAAUGACUGCUAAUACCGCAUAAGCGCACAGUAUCGCAUGAUACAGUGUGAAAAGCUCCGGCAGUAUGAGAUGGACCCGCGUCUGAUUAGCCAGUUGGUGGGGUAAAGGCCUACCAAAGCGAUGAUCAGUAGCCGGCCUGAGAGGGCGACCGGCCACAUUGGGACUGAGACACGGCCCAAACUCCUACGGGAGGCAGCGGUGGGGGAUAUUGCACAAUGGGGGAAACCCUGACGCAGCGACGCCGCGUGAGUGAAGAAGUAUUUCGGUAUGUAAAGCUCUAUCAGCAGGGAAGAAAAUGACGGUACCUGACUAAGAAGCCCCGGCUAACUACGUGCCAGCAGCCGCGGUAAA